AUUAAAAUAAAAUUAUAUUUUAAUUAUUAAAUUAUAAAUUUAGUCAUGAGCUUUGUAGAGCGCAGUAUUAGAGGGAAAUGGGACGGUGGCUGAACCCUCUCCCGCGCGGACAGCUAGGAACUAGCGCCUGCUACUUCGUCGCCGGUUUCUCCUUAUUCGCCGUCGGAGCUUACCUCUCUUACGUCAAUAUCGGCCCUCAGCAAGCUCGAACUAAAGCUCGUAGCGAUUUUGUUCGGGAGCGGCUGAGAAGGCGUCACCACGAUUAAACUCGAUCGAUUUCUUCCGGGAGCGGCUGAGAAGGCGUCACCACGAUUAAACUCGAUCGAUUUCUUCCGCUCAAUAAAGAUUGCUCAAGCUCGGAGAACACAAGUACGAGCUUUGAUGAUGGAAUGAAAGGAACAAAAGUAUAGAGGUUGGUACUGAAGUUUCAGAGCGCUUAGACAUUAUGAAUUUCUGGGCACUACAACAUAACUAUAGCUUAUCUUCAGGUUAUAUUUAGUUGAUUCUGAUGGAUUUUGGUAAAACUUCUGAUAUUAGCAGUGAUGUUGUAAUGACCCAACUUUUUUAUACUCUAGUCGAGAUCAUUACCUACGAGAUAACAAA